GUGGGGAAUAUUGCACAAUGGGCGAAAGCCUGAUGCAGCAACGCCGCGUGAGGGACGACGGCCUUCGGGUUGUAAACCUCUUUUAGUAGGGAAGAAGCGAAAGUGACGGUACCUGCAGAAAAAGCACCGGCUAACUACGUGCCAGCAGCCGCGGUAAUACGUAGGGUGCAAGCGUUAUCCGGAAUUAUUGGGCGUAAAGAGCUCGUAGGCGGUCUGUCGCGUCUGCUGUGAAAACUGGAGGCUCAACCUCCAGCCUGCAGUGGGUACGGGCAGACUAGAGUUCGGUAGGGGAGAUUGGAAUUCCUGGUGUAGCGGUGGAAUGCGCAGAUAUCAGGAGGAACACCGAUGGGGAAGGCAGAUCUCUGGGCCGUAACUGACGCUGAGGAGCGAAAGCGUGGGGAGCGAACAGGAUUAGAAACCCCAGUAGUCC
rnacentral:rRNA from 1 species